GGGCACCACCAGGAGUGGAGCCUGCGGCUUAAUUUGACUCAACACGGGAAAACUCACCCGGCCCGGACACUAGGAGGAUUGACUGACUGACUAGCUCUUUCUUGAUUCAGUGGGUGGUGGUGCAUGGCCGUUCUUAGUUGGUGGAGCGAUUUGUCUGGUUAAUUCCGAUAACGAACGAGACUCUAGCCUACUAGUUAGCCGGCCCGGUCGUUAUGCGCCCGGGCAGCGAGCUUCUUAGAGGGACAGACGGCGAGUAAGCCGUACGAGAUAGAGCAAUAACAGGUCUGUGAUGCCCUUAGAUGUCCGGGGCCGCACGCGCGCUACGCUGAAGUGAUCAGCACGCUAGCAAGCCCGCUCCGAGAGGGGCGGGUAACCGUUUGAACCCCCUUCAUGAUAAGGAUUGAGCUUUGUAACUAUAGCUCAUGAACGAGGAAUUCCCAGUAGGCGUGAGUCAUUACCUUACGCCGAUUACGUCCCUGCCCUUUGUACACACCGCCCGUCGCUACUACCGAUUGAAUG
rnacentral:rRNA from 1 species